UGCAUUUAUAUGGUCUCCUGUCUUCUAGAGCCUUAUCUUCAACAGCUGCUAAAAUUGAAGAACAAAAAGAAUCUUUGAAACUUCCCUUCAACUGGUCAUCCUCUUCCCUUUUUCUCUCCUUUAAACACUGUUCCAAUUCAUUAUGAUGGCCCCAAAGCAAAGACAGACAUGGAAGUGAACAUUGGAGUGGAAGGAAUGACGAGCCCAAGGAUGAAAACAGAGAAGUAAUUAAUGGCAGCUUUCCUGGGCCAGAAGAAUAAAUAAGGAAUUAUCUUACAAACAGCAAAUAAACCACAGCAACCAUGAAAUUAGAAGUUUGGUAAAACAUGUUGCAGAAGAACCAGGAAACACAUUGCAAUUGAGCCUGCUGGGUGCUGCUGCAAGUUUGGGGGUGAACAGGAGAAUCAGGUUCUUAUAGGGGUGAAGUCUGCAAAGUAGGAUGUUUUCCUAAUUUGAAUGCAAUGACUGAAGUGGAAAAUGGUCAAAACUGGGCAGAGUGGCUCACACCUACAAUCCCCUAGGAGGGAAGGACAAAGGCAUCCAUAUCACCUCGCCACAGUGGUUGUGGUGGAAGCUGUAGCACUGAAGAGAUGCAGCCCCAUGGAAGAUGCUGCCAAGAGAGGGAGACAGAGCUACGUCUGGUGUCUCCCUUCCUCCUUACCUGGUGCCUCCCUCCUCCUGUCCUCCUGUCUCCCUUCAGAUGAAGGAACUGAUGCUGAGACUUGCACUCUACCAUAGGCGGAAGCACCCACCACCCUGUUCCCAGCCCUGGAAGGGCAAGGAAUGAAUCUGAGGCAAAUAGGGCCAGCACUGGCAGUCUGCUCGAUUUUCCCUCAGAGCAUUUAUCUUCCUUGACAUAUUUACAAUUUUUUGUCUAUUUUUGGUUUCUCUAACUUGACUAGAAUGUAAGAUCCACAAGGCUUGGGCUUUGCUCUUUUGUUCACUAUGUCCAUAGCUCCUGUAACAGUGCCUAAAACAUAGUAGGCAAUCAAUAGAUAUUCUUUGGAUAAACAAAUAUGCCUCAACAUUGAGUCUAACUUACAGCAGACAUUGAAUAAAUAUCUAUUGAAUGAA
rnacentral:lncRNA from 1 species